rnacentral:lncRNA from 1 species
UUGGUUAGAAUUCAUAGCACAACUCAUUAGCUAUAUGCUGGUAGUAGGGUGCUAACACAACUGAUGGUUUGAAAUAUUUUCUCUUGUUUUAGGGUGAGAUUAUGAAGGUUUAUGCCAAUGAUCAAAUAAAAACAUGUGUUGAGUUUCCAGAGUGUUUUGUAUGUAAGUAGUAUAUAUUAUAUUUUCUUUUCAUUUUUUGCACCUUGUAUGUUUUAAAAUUUAAAAUGAUUGGGUAUCUGAGCUACAUGCCUUCUAUAGAGGAUUGCUGGUCAAACAUGAGCUGUCAGUGAGAGAAGAAUCAUGUCUAUGGUGUUUCUACCUGUGUGGUGUCUCCCCUCCGAUGCGUGCCCUCUUCCCUCUGGUUCUCCCUGAUUCUCACAGGUAUGUUUUGCACUGGCACACUUACAUUGGUGCUCUUUCUUUUUGCUGCUAGCACAAGUACUAUACUACUAUGGCCUACUUAAGAACUAGGAAAGUUUAUGUUAUCGAAUCAUCAAACAUGUUAGCAUCUUGUUAGUAUUAAGAAGCAGCAGUGAAUCAUUUACAUAUAUUUCUAAUUUGUCAAUAGCAGAUGAACAAUCUUCUACAUGCAAAUUUCUGUUCAGCGCGCUCGUGGUCAUUGGCAGGAAGACUCAUGUGGUCGGAAGAGGGCUGAUGAGCACGAUCACCAUGGAUGUGGACACCGCGGCAAGGGUGGACGAGUUCUUGGUUACCACCUUUGUAGGCCCAUUGGUGGAGGAAGACUUGACGAGAGGUGUGUGGUGA